rnacentral:sRNA from 1 species
AACAAAACCCUGUGGAAACUCCCUUUGGAGAAGAGCUUCUUAUUCAGACUAUGAUUUGUGUUUCUUUGAUUAUGUCUGAGUAAUCCACUUGUUAGGUUUAGGGUUUCUCAUUAGGGAUUCAUAUGGUUUAAUAGAUCGCCCCCUGCUAGGUUAUCUGUAGAAUUCUUCAUCUUUAAUUGUUCUUAAUGCUAGAUCUAGAUUGAUCACCUAGAACUUGAAUCCAGACAAUAGAUAUGCAGACAAUAGAUAUGCCCUCCAUAGGUAUCUGUAGUUGGAUCUGUUAUUUGAUGAGGCUGGUUUAUAGGUGUGUAAUAAGAAUCGUCCUAUCUACUAAGGUGAACAAUCGAACUCGUUAAGAAUGCAUAUUUAGGUUAAUAAUCUCUCGGCUUCUCCGGUUAUUCAUAGCUAUAGAUAUAGGGAGUUUUGCGGCACGCCCACGGGUUAUUCCAUGAUUAGAGUUUGAGUUUAAGAAUGGUUCGAUAAA